rnacentral:ncRNA from 1 species
AUCGAAGCAGAAGAGUAGCGUCUUCUGCACACAGCCGCCAUUAGCGCCUGAAGAUGUAGCUGGAAUACAGGAUGACCGAUCCAUAAGCUUCAGGGUGAGUCUACUCU